CCGCCAGGCCCCAUCUCCGAGGUUCCCAUCUCCAAUGCACCGCAACCGUCCCCGUCUCCCCCUCCCAGCUACCGCCUACCGCCCACCAUCUCCCUCCUCUCCUCCCUAGCCUGUGGGCUUUCAGAUCAAGCAGGCGAUGCGGCGGCGCUACAAGAUCCAUGAGGCACCACCCCGGGCUCGUCGUUGCGGCUUACAUCCACGUACUCUAAUUCAGUGUCACGCAACGGCAGUGGCUGAGAUCCUACUCGCGCUGAGGCGAAGCUAUGGCGGCGCCACGCUCCCUCACCACCCCUAGCUGACAAGUGGUCGCUCCCAUCGGUCCCUCCCUGCGCCACCCGAGCGAAAGAAAGUGGUGGUGCGCCGUCGACCCGACGCCCUCUCUUCGACCGGUAGUGUAGGGCGCGGAGGCGCAGUGCUCCGUCCCCACCCCCAGCAGAGGGACGCGGUGGCACACUGCUCUCUCUCCCCACACCAGCCUAGCGGACGCCCAUGGUCCCUCCCCUACCUGAUCUAAUAGGCACAACCGCGGCAGCGCCCAACCUUCUCUCACCAUCCAGCAGGGCCUGAAGUCCUCCAGCUCCGGGCUUCACAAACUCCACGAAUGAAAUUGUCCCGAACAUUUGGGCUCCGAGAAGUUGAAUUCAUGAAGCUAUACCCGAUGAUAGUGCAAAAACGUGGAGGAGCAUCGGCCCAGCUCCACCGAAACUGAAAGCUGGAGUUUGCCCAAAUUACAGCCGGCAUGCCACCGCCAAACUUACCUUUUCGUUCUCCUGCCCGCACACAAAAGAAAAUGUAUCGAACACUAUCUCCCCCGCUCGUUCCCCUCAAGCAGCUACCCCUAUCCGCCGUCGCAUGCUCCGCCACAGCGCUCCUUCCCGGCGACAGAUCAAGGCGUUCCAGGCCAGUCCCGCCCGGUUCCCAUCGACACAGCCCGAAGGAAGCAACCCCAAGAUCAGGACCUAAGCACCAACGCCAUUGACGCACUGCUCAUCUCACAUGAGUCCACCUCAUCUCACGUGCUCACCCAAAAAUGGGCAGCCUUCGCCGGCCCAACAUGCACGAACAGGCCACAUCCCUUCUAGUUGGGCUGCAGCGCAGGAAAGAAGCUGGAGUCAGAGCCGAACAGAAUCUGAAUCGCUGGACGGAGCAAGAAGCCACGAUGAGAAGCUGGUUUUAUAGAGUUUUGAGAAGCUAGGGAGACUCCGAACACGCCCUUAGUUGAUCUGUGAUUUGUACUAUGGUAGCCGCUAGGUAGGGCUAGUUUAUGGAGUUAGUGCUGAAAUUGAUGAAGAGGAAGACGAACAUGAGCAGCCGUGUUGAUCCUGCCUAAUGGAUGCGUUCGUGUGUUGGUAGAUUCGCGUGUGUGUGUUGAUCCAUGUGUGCAUGUUUUUUGAUCGAUGCAAGAUUUGUAAUGUGUUAUCUCCUUAUGACGUGUGUUCAUUGAUUUAUGGCGUGGUGUGUGUGUGUUGGUAAAUCCUCUCAACCUCUAAUAUCAAAUUUGGGUCUCGACUAGGGGGCAUGAUGGAUUUUUGUCUAAGACGCGAGUAUGAGUUGGCUGGAUUUGUGUCGCGAGUUGCCGGAAUUGUGGUAUGAGUUUGCCAGAUCCCCAUUACGACAGAGUUGUAGGGCUUUUUAAGAGGGGGCGUGGUGGAGUUGCAGGCGUGUUAGCACUAUUUGGCUCGGAUUUGUGGAGCGAGUUGCCAGAGUCUUGCUAUGAGAUCUUACCGGAUCCUUCUGCUAGUCUGUGGAGUUCUGCUACUAGCCAGCGCUUUCAACCAUUGCUUACUUUAGAGUACAAAAAACACGCACACACAAUGCGUUCAUGGAGAUUUUGAACUUACCAUUGGGGAUAUUUCUAUCAGCCCGAAUGUUGCUUAGUUGUUGAUUCCCGAGUGGAGGGUUUGUGGUUU